GCAACGAGUCUCUCUCUCUCUCUCACACUCUUCUAUCGAUAUCUGUGCUCUUUCUCUUUUUCUCUCUUUAAACCUCACUUUACUUAAAUACUCAGUAAAUCUAGGGUUUAAGACCAUCUUCUAGUUGCCAAUACAGGAUCUCUGCACAGUUACGGCCAUGGAUUCACUUCUCUCAGCCUCGUAUAGAUUCGUUGGAAAUGGUUAUAUCAAACAGCAGAGAUGUUGCCAAGAGCUGAUCCAAGUAUAUUCACCUGGUUGGAACCGGUGAGUUGAUAUGAUAUGUGUAUGCCUCAAAGGUUGGGGUAAGGAAUGAAGCCAUUGGUCCGUGCUUGUAGGAUAGAUGUAUAAAAAUUUUGAUGUCUAUCUUCUCUUUUAUUUGUAUUCCUGAACUAUAAUCAUGUUCUGAUUCUUAAUUCAAAGUUCUUCCAAUA